rnacentral:rRNA from 1 species
GGGAUUGCCUCAGUAACGGCGAGUGAAGCGGCAACAGCUCAAAUUUGAAAUCUGGCUCCUCCGGGGUCCGAGUUGUAAUUUGUAGAGAGUGCUUCGGGCGAGACCACGGUCUAAGUCUAUUGGAACAUUGCGUCACAGAGGGUGAGAACCCCGUAUGUGACCGUGGCUCGAGCCCAUGUGAAGCCUCUUCGACGAGUCGAGUUGUUUGGGAAUGCAGCUCAAAAUGGGUGGUAAAUUUCAUCUAAAGCUAAAUACUGGCUGGAGACCGAUAGCGCACAAGUAGAGUGAUCGAAAGAUGAAAAGCACUUUGGAAAGAGAGUCAAACAGUACGUGAAAUUGUUGAAAGGGAAGCGCUGGCAACCAGACCUGUCCGUAGGCGAUCAGCCGCUGUUCUCAGCGGUGCACUCGUUCUGCGAUCAGGCCAGCAUCGGUUUCGGCGGUCGGAUAAAGGCCUGGGGAACGUAGCUCCUUUUCGGGGGAGUGUUAUAGACCCGGGCGCAAUGCGGCCAGCCGGGACCGAGGACCGCGCUUCGGCUAGGAUGCUGGCGUAAUGGUUGUCAGCGACCCGUCUUGAAACACGGACCAAGGAGUCUAACAUCUAUGCGAGUGUUUGGGUGUUAAACCCAUGCGCGGAAUGAAAGUGAACGGAGGUGAGAACCCUUUAGGGCGCAUCAUCGACCGAUCCAGAUGUCUUCGGAUGGAUUUGAGUAUGAGCAUAGCUGUUGGGACCCGAAAGGUAAAUACAUCCAAACCCCCUUCUCCCUUGGAAUCUUAAGCUGACUUUUUUCAUAGAUGGUGAACUAUGCCUGAAUAGGGUGAAGCCAGAGGAAACUCUGGUGGAGGCUCGCAGCGGUUCUGACGUGCAAAUCGAUCGUCAAAUUUGGGUAUAGGGGUAAGCUUCUAUAUAUUCUAUAGGGAUACCCAGAUUCAAUACUAACUUUUUAAUAGGCGAAAGACUAAUC